rnacentral:lncRNA from 1 species
AGAAAAGAGGAGAGGCCACAAGGAGAGAGAGGGCAGCUGGGGAGAGGUUUAAUCAGUAGGAGUUUUUCCUGAAAGCUUGGAGAACAUUGAUAAAAUUAUUCUGCACUGAGAAAAACGUCUGGUUCUAUAUCAAGCUUGUAAUACAUUUGCUGCAAAGGGCAGAUACACCAUGAGCCUUGAGACUUGAUGGUCAGCCAUUCUACCCAAAACUGUAAUGCCCAAGUUGAGUUAAGUAUCCUAACUUAAUAGAAAAUAAGGUGAAGAGCAAUUGUGAAAUGCACCUAGUAUCAAUCUUGUGUCUACACACACACACACACACACACACACA